rnacentral:lncRNA from 12 species
AUGCAGAAGGAGCCCCCCCCCCGCCCGUGCCCCACUGUGGGGGGGGGGGGGGUCGAGGGUCGAUGGCCGAAGGGUUCAAAUGCGUCCCAAGAGGCCCUCGGGCCCGAGCCCGCUUCAGGCUCAGCCUCUGCUCUGCCAAAGCCACCACAUCGGGCUCGUCGGGGGCCGCGCUGGAGUGGGUUCCAGGCCUCGGAAGAGCCGCUUCCUCUCUCUGGCCUCAGUUUCCCCUCUCCAGCUCCGAGGGCAUGGGCCACGCUGCAAGUCCCCCCCCACCCCACCCCACCCCGCUACCCGGUUACGGCUCAAGAAGACACAGAGCACUUUGCAAAUGAGCAGCCCCUGUGUUUGAGUCACCAGCUCUGGCUCAGUCCCCAAGAGUGCCAGCUGCAGGGGGGCGUACCCAAGCCUGGCACACUGGCAGCGACGGGCUUUUCACAGCCAAGCCGGGCGCAGUGCAUGCAGGCGGGGCCUCCCAGCUGCCCCCUGAGCACCCCCCCCCCCGGUGCUGCGGCCCAGCUCCCGGACAGGUGUCCCCGGUGGGCGUCGGAGGCCCGGGGGCAGGGUGCCCACACCUCGGCUGCAGGCCCAGCCCUGCCCCGCAGCUGCUCCCUCCUCCUCAGGACUCCCAGGCGUUUCCAGAAGAGCAGAGCCACUUCGAGGGACAGGCUUUCCUGCUCCCUGAGGAUUUUCCGAGCACGGGCCCCCAGCCCCGAGCCCGCUCGAGGAGCCUCCAGAAGCGUUCGAGGAGCUACGGCAAACUGGUGUGAACAUAUGGCUCCCCAGGGGGGCCGCCUGGGUGGGGGGGUGCUCCUUCGCCCACGAACCAGCCCCCGCCUCACGGCCCCAGAGCCCCGGGGAGAAGGGUGCACCCAGCAGGCCUCGGCACGCCCACGGCCGUCGCGUCGGAGGGAAAGGCCAGGCCGAGGCCCAGGUCCCUGCCUCUGGCUGCAGCCCUGGGUCCAGACGUCCCAGCCUGUGGCCGCGGCCCCUCUAACUCAGGAUGGCAACGUUCCUAAAAGGGUUUAUUUCUUCAUGAGACACACAGAGAGGGAGGCAGAGACGCAGGCAGCGGGAGAAGCAGGCUCCAUGCAGGGAGCCCCAUGCGGGACUCGAACCCGGGACUCCGGGGUCAAGGCACAUGCUCCCCCGCGGAGCCACCAGGGGCCCCGGGAUGACAACAUCUGA